rnacentral:rRNA from 1 species
UACGGGGGGUGCAAGCGUUGUUCGGAAUCAUUGGGCGUAAAGCGCGCGCAGGCGGCUUGGUCAGUCAGAUGUGAAAGCCCUGGGCUUAACCCAGGAAGUGCAUUUGAUACUGCCUCGCUAGAGUACGGGAGAGGAAAGUGGAAUUCCUGGUGUAGAGGUGAAAUUCGUAGAUAUCAGGAGGAACACCGGUGGCGAAGGCGACUUUCUGGCCCGAUACUGACGCUCAGGCGCGAAAGCGUGGGGAGCAAACAGG